UUUUGCCCAGACUCGAGGCAUCAAGACCCAGAGGACGAAGGUUUAAGGUGAGGGGGGAAAGAUUUAAAAGGAACCUGAGGGAAACAUUUUUACACAA